ensembl:lncRNA
GAGUAUUCUAUAUUUUUAUUUUUCAAACAGCAAGUGACCACAUUUAAAAUGCAUCAUUUGCAAAUAUAAAUUAUCAAACUAUUAGUUUAAUUAAAAAUAAAGCAAAAACAUAACUUCCCUUAGUAUCACAAUACAUAGAAGGGUAUUAUAAACCCAAAAAGACUAAGUUAGCCAUAAGAAAACAAUAACGUCAAAAGUGAUGAAACUCAUUAAGUCACUUAAUGAAUAAAUCAGUCUAAGAAUACAAUACCAUUCACCAUGAUUAUGUAAAGAAAAAAAAAAAAAAGCAAACUUUCAUUGUAUUAUACAGAUAAAACAAUCCAAUCCUUCAUGCCACAUUUUGUAAACCAUGAUAUAAAUUACACUCACAGUCAAAUGAACAGGAAGAGUAACUCCCAAAAUAUUUUAAGUUGCUUUUAGGGCAGAAAUAAAGGCAGAAAUAGAAUCAUUUAAAAUAUAUCAAGUUUAACCAAAAAAAAAAAUCAUUUGGUCAAGCCUGCUAUCCAAAUAGUUUUGUUCCCUGCAAAACUAUUUUUGUAUUUUUGUGAGUUAUGAAAUUUAAAUGUUUCUUUUACAUAUUAAAUGUAAGUCAUGUGUUGAGAUACAUUAAAUUUUGUUAUACUUUUAUCAUUUUGGCCUUAAGACCCAAAUAUCUUCCAUAGACGGACACACACACACCCACACCCACACCCACACCCACACCCACACACUCAUUCUCUUCUUGGUAUUACGAAAUUCCUCAUUUCACAGGAAUAAUGAAAGACACACAUACUGAUUUCUGUCAGAAACAUAAGGAAUAUGCAAAUUCAUACUUUCCAGGAUCCUGUGAAAUCAUCUCUCACCUAUAUAUACAUAUUCCAACUGAUGGAAUUUAGGCUACGGUCUUUUGUCGGAUAAUAAAGGGAUGGAAUAGAUGUUGUAGGAUAAAGAAAUACUGUAUAAUGAUUGAAAUAAACCUAUUAUCCUAAAUUUAUCUAUACAAAUUAUCAUUUUUUAUUAACUAAAAUACAAAGAAGCAUAUGAACUCCAGGAAAAUAGCACUAUAUCAUAAAUUCACUGUAACAGUGUUCCACUAUAUAUAUCAUCAGGUUUUUCAUAAGACCAUUUCUUCUGUACACUAGAUUUUGUACUAAUUUAUCUGUCUUCAAAUCCAUUACAUUUUCAGAUCCAAUUCAGCACUAUAUAGUAUGCCUUCAAAAUAAAAGGAAGUCACUUGCUUUAUUGAAUACCAAGUUCCCUUCCAGACAGUAUUUAAAGAAAGACAAGACUACACAGACAAAGUCCAGUAUAAUUCAUUUCUGACAAUGAAAAUUUCAACCCCUCAUACUGUUGCAAUAUUCCUCCUACUGAAAUGUCUACAAUAAUAAUAAUUAUAAUAAUAAUUAUAAUAAUAAAAAGCAUACAUUACAUAUAAAAGAUACCAGUGUACUAAAAGUGACAGAAGUGGACUAGCAAAUCCUUCAAAGCACAUAUUAUAUAAAUGACUAGCAUUUAAAAACAUUUCUUUUUCUAUAAAAUGUAGGUCAUAUACAUUUAUAAAUUGGGGGGGAGAGGUUCUAAAGCAGUGAUGACUGUUCAAAUUGAUAUGCUUCUCUGUACAGUCUAAUACCUAUUCAAUUCAAACUAUAAGUUUGACAUCUAGUUUAUCAGAAUAAACCCAUCUCAUCAUCUCAUAGCUCAUAAUUUGAAAAAUAUGCAACUCAAAGGAAGAGGUGACUCAAAAGUUCACUGUUUAUCUGCAUAUGAAAUAAGAUAACUAUUCCUUUCUAUGGGUGGCCCAAGUCUCAUCAGUUCAAUAUCAGGACUUAAAAGACUCCAAAUUUAUGUAGAGGAACUGGCAGGAAUCAGCACAGAAGCAGAAUAGUGUCUCUGAUCCUUUUAGAGACACAGCUAUUCAACCUUAGCAGUCUUCCUCGUCUUGCAGAAGUGCAGCCAAGCCAUUCAUUUCUCACUCAAAGUGGACGAAGCCAUAGAUCUAAAGACUGUCCUCUCUGAGACUGAAAUUGUGCUCUGUAAACAAUGGUAUAUAUUCCAGCAGGAGGACAUCUGAAUUUAUUUAUAAAAAAAUGAUUAAGAAUAUUCAUUAACUCAAACAAGGCUAUUAACUCCCAAAGGUAUUUUUGGAACUUAUCCUUAUGCUACUUGUCAAGUUAGCACUGUCAUGUAUUAUUGCUUACAAACAGUACAUCAUCAUAUGCCUUCUAACAGAGCAGUUCUGUGAUCAGUUUAUAUUUACAGGCUUUUCUGUUUGUUUUUAAACAAGCUAUAAAAACAUUACAUACUUUACAGACAAUACAAAUACUCAAGUCGAACAAAUGGAAUGCAUAACAAUAAGAAACGUCAUAAAGGAAGACUGACAUAAGUCCUUGAUUGUCAAGACACAUUUAUAUUUAUAUAUAAACUCUAGCUGUGCAGAAUCAAAGAUUCAAUCAUAGGUACAUCCUUAUUUGAUAAAUCAUAUUUACAGCAUGAUAUUGCAUAAAAAAAUAAAAUAAUGUUGUUUACACAAUAUUACCUUUCCAUCCAUUGGAUUAAGGAACGCAAGAAACAACUCUCAGAAAUGUUUGCUUGCCUCAGUUUGUGUUUCCUACCAAAAGAUGUAAUUUUAAAAAGGAAACAGAAGGUUUUGUAUGUUGAGUAGAGCAAAAGCAACUAUAAAUUUAUUUCCCUGACACAAAGCAAAUUGUACUUGAACAGAAGUUAAACUUUCAAAUUAAAGAUGUGUCUUUUUAUUAGCAGUAAUACUUUCUUAGUGCUUGUCUUUUGCAAAGUGAGUUUCAGCUAAAUGCAUUACAUGCCUAACAUAAACAUGCAUUACCCUAAGUCAAAUGAACUUUCAAAGUUACAAGGCUUCAUUUUAGUAAGACAUUUAACUCUAGGAAAUUGUAAAAUUAUUCAUUUGCUUCAGUACCAACCAUGUAAUUUGGAAGUUCACAUGUGUA